GUAUUACUCACUCCGUCUAGAAAUAUUUGUCGUCAAAAUAAAUGAAAGAAGAUGUAUCUAGAUGUAUUUUAGUUCUAGAUACAUCUCUUUUUAUCUAUUUUGAUGACAAGUAUUUUCGGACGGAGGGAGUACUUU
rfam:Triticum aestivum genome assembly, contig: Triticum_aestivum_CS42_TGACv1_scaffold_321247_4BL